UUGUAAGGUUCUGUUUCCCCCCUUACGUGGUCAGUUUGGUCAAUCCAUCGUCCCUACUUCCGGCCUCCUCCACUUCCCACUGAUGGCAUGUCCCGAUUUUUUCUCCUCUCACCUCAUUCGCCUCCUUGUCGCCUCACGCAAAGAAAGCACGCACCCACCUAGCGCCAUCAGCCUAUCCCCAUCACGAUCUGGCCGCCGCCACAACGUCGAUAUCGCAUCCGGCGCCGCCCGUCGCCUCCCUCUCCCAUCUCGCGCUUGUGUCUCCAAUCUCCCGUCGGACGUGCAUGUGCCUGCCCCUUCGCAUCAGCGACCACUUGCCAGCGACGACCCGAGGUCACCGUCGCGGGGACCAAAUGAUUCGUUGCCGCAGUCCAGAGCUACUUCGUCGACGGCGUCAAUGGAGGCUUUGGCGAGAGCUCCUGGCCUUCCGCCGCCGCCGCCGGGUCCAUCUCCCAGGCUGACAUGCGGCCGAUCGGGACUGCGUCGGAUCCUCUGUCGCUGGCCCACGUCCCAGUCCUCUCCUUCCUCUCACAGUUCAUGAGGUGGCACCACAUGAGGAACCGAGAAUAGAAUGAGAAAAUCUCAUAUGUGCCAGUCUGCGCAUCGCGUUCUCACGCCAAGCCCAAGCUCUUCUUGCUGCACUGUUGGCAGAUUCAUAUGUACAAUAUUAGUGUUCAUAUCAGUCUGACAGAUUCAUGUGUAUCUUUUCAGUAUUCAAAUUCAGGGAAUUCAAGUGAUACAUAUAUUGUUUGGAAUUUCGUUGCUAUGCCAUGAUCGGUUCCAUUUAUCCACCAUUUAAUGUUUUUAUUUUUCUGUCGUAAAGUAGUUCCUUCUAUGGAAUUGUAGUAAAAAGAUUAUAUUCAGCUUCGUUAAUGUCCAGAUGCAAGUUGAUGAAUUACUGUUCAUUUUACUUGAGAAGAAAUAAUUCACAUGUUCAAGAACAACCGCUGGAUUAUAAUUUUAUAAGCCUUUGUACUGAAUGCAAGCAUACACAUUGAUUAAUGAUAGAUAUGUAGUAUCCAGUGCAGUCUAAAAUUACAUCGCCACACCCGCCAGCAGGAGCGGCAGCAACAGCAUGGUGUCGUAGUUUGACCUGGUGGUUGUCCCGAGGGGCACGACACCGCCAGUGGAGAUGUAACAGGUGAAGGAGGAAGACGUGGGGACGAAGGUGGCUGCGUGGUAGAUCAACAAUUGGUUCGAUAGCGAGGUGGUUGUCGUCAACGGCUGGGAGACGAAGCAGGUAGACAAGGCCUUUUCCUGGCUGAACAAGAUUGAGGUUCACUUUGGACUUUGUCUCACUUUGAUGGGAGCUUGAAUUCUUCACCACGUUACGACUGAUAUUCCUGGAAUUUGUGAUCACAAUGUCAGUGCUGCCAUUGUCAUGCAGCUCAACCUGGGACCGAGCACGGAUGCCACUGCAUAUUGCUAAAAUUUACAGGAAAUGCGGAAAAUAGAGUUACAUCAACUGAGCAAUGCACAUUUCCCAAAAUGUGUACCACAUUGUUAUUGAGAUAAUUAUAUGUUGGUGUAUGGAGGGAAUUUGUGUGGGAGCGAUUGCAGCAUUGGGAGAAGGCACGAUACAUUCAGUUGACACCCUAAAAAAAGACUUUAGAGUCUAAAGUAUAAUGACACGGAAUAAGGUGUGGGAUCGUCUCUUCUUCUAAUCUAUGGGACUAUGAAAGAGUUGCUUGCUAUUGUGCUUCUUUGAAGACGCUUUCACAACAACUUUUAUCACCAUCGUUGGGCAUACACAUCGUUAGCAACACAGUGCAUGUUUCUCCAGGAACCAUUUGCUUACUUAGUAAUAUUUCUGUUCAUAUUAUAGGAUGAUAUGCUUGAUACUUUCCUUUUGUGAUCAUUGUUUUAGUUUGCGCGGGCUGGUUGUGGAUUACAUUGACCUUUACCAAAUACAUUGGCCUGAUCGGUCAGUACAAUGAAUUCAUUCCAUGCCAGAAGCUCCAACUGCCAUGUCUUUUUGCUUGCAUCAUGUGCAUCCUGGAGUCCUAAUAUAACUCAUGCUUACCCUGCAGUUAUGUUCCCCUGUUUGGAGAGAUGGAAUACAAUCUAAGCUACAAGUACACGCUGUACGGAUAGAAGAACAACUAGAGGCACUUGGAAAAUCUAUUGUAAUUGGUAUUGUACUGUAAAAAUGUAGUCCCUCUGUAAACUUUUAUAAGAUGUUUUAGGUUACAACUUACAAAAAUUUACAGAGGGAGUAUAUUCUAUGCCUACAUCGGAUUGUACGCAAUGAUAACUCUUUCUUUAGAAGAACCCUUCCUGGUGUUUGUACCAUCAGUGUGAGUUAUAACAUGUUGUACC